ACGCUGGCGGCAGGCCUAACACAUGCAAGUCGAACGGUAACAGGAAGAAGCUUGCUUCUUUGCUGACGAGUGGCGGACGGGUGAGUAAUGUCUGGGAAACUGCCUGAUGGAGGGGGAUAACUACUGGAAACGGUAGCUAAUACCGCAUAACGUCGCAAGACCAAAGAGGGGGACCUUCGGGCCUCUUGCCAUCGGAUGUGCCCAGAUGGGAUUAGCUAGUAGGUGGGGUAACGGCUCACCUAGGCGACGAUCCCUAGCUGGUCUGAGAGGAUGACCAGCCACACUGGAACUGAGACACGGUCCAGACUCCUACGGGAGGCAGCAGUGGGGAAUAUUGCACAAUGGGCGCAAGCCUGAUGCAGCCAUGCCGCGUGUAUGAAGAAGGCCUUCGGGUUGUAAAGUACUUUCAGCGGGGAGGAAGGGAGUAAAGUUAAUACCUUUGCUCAUUGACGUUACCCGCAGAAGAAGCACCGGCUAACUCCGUGCCAGCAGCCGCGGUAAUACGGAGGGUGCAAGCGUUAAUCGGAAUUACUGGGCGUAAAGCGCACGCAGGCGGUUUGUUAAGUCAGAUGUGAAAUCCCCGGGCUCAACCUGGGAACUGCAUCUGAUACUGGCAAGCUUGAGUCUCGUAGAGGGGGGUAGAAUUCCAGGUGUAGCGGUGAAAUGCGUAGAGAUCUGGAGGAAUACCGGUGGCGAAGGCGGCCCCCUGGACGAAGACUGACGCUCAGGUGCGAAGCGUGGGGAGCAA
rnacentral:rRNA from 1 species